rnacentral:rRNA from 1 species
AUUGAACGCUGGCGGCAUGCUUUACACAUGCAAGUCGAACGGCAGCGCGGGCUUCGGCCUGGCGGCGAGUGGCGAACGGGUGAGUAAUGCAUCGGAACGUGCCCAGUAGUGGGGGAUAGCCCGGCGAAAGCCGGAUUAAUACCGCAUACGACCUGAGGGUGAAAGCGGGGGACCGAAAGGCCUCGCGCUAUUGGAGCGGCCGAUGUCGGAUUAGCUAGUUGGUGGGGUAAAGGCUUACCAAGGCGACGAUCCGUAGCUGGUCUGAGAGGACGACCAGCCACACUGGGACUGAGACACGGCCCAGACUCCUACGGGAGGCAGCAGUGGGGAAUUUUGGACAAUGGGGGCAACCCUGAUCCAGCCAUGCCGCGUGCGGGAAGAAGGCCUUCGGGUUGUAAACCGCUUUUGUUCGGGAAGAAAUCCUCUGGGCUAUACCCCGGGGGGAUGACGGUACCGGAAGAAUAAGCACCGGCUAACUACGUG